rnacentral:rRNA from 1 species
UACGUAGGGUGCGAGCGUUGUCCGGAAUUACUGGGCGUAAAGAGCUCGUAGGUGGUUUGUCGCGUUGUUCGUGAAAACUCACAGCUUAACUGUGGGCGUGCGGGCGAUACGGGCAGACUGGAGUACUGCAGGGGAGACUGGAAUUCCUGGUGUAGCGGUGGAAUGCGCAGAUAUCAGGAGGAACACCGGUGGCGAAGGCGGUUCUCUGGGCAUUACCUGACGCUGAGGAGCGAAAGUGUGGGGAGCGGACAGG